rnacentral:rRNA from 1 species
UGAGCAACCUGCCCUUGACCCUGGAAUAACAGCUGGAAACAGCUGCUAAUACCGGAUAUGACCUCCGAUGGCAUCAUCUGGAGGUGGAAAGCUCCGACGGUCAAGGAUGGGCUCGCGGCCUAUCAGCUUGUUGGUGAGGUAACGGCUCACCAAGGCUUCGACGGGUAGCCGGCCUGAGAGGGCGACCGGCCACACUGGGACUGAGACACGGCCCAGACCUCUACGGGA